UACGGAGAGUGCAAACGUUGUUCGGAUUCACUGGGCGUAAAGGGCACGUAGGCGGCUCGGCAAAUCGGUCGUGGAAUCUCGACGCUUACCGUCGAAACGGCGGCCGAAAAUACCGGGCUCGAGGCGUGAGGGGUCACUGGAACUCCUGGUGAAGCGGUGAAAUGCGUAGAUAUCAGGAGGAACGCCGGAGGCGAAGGCGGCGACCUGGGUCGAGACUGACGCUGAGGCGCGAAAGCGUGGGGAGCAAACAGG
rnacentral:rRNA from 1 species